rnacentral:lncRNA from 1 species
AUAUAUAUAUAUUUUUUUUUUUCUAUCAUAUCUUUAUGUCUGCAUGUUGAUUUUUUUCUUGAUGCAUUAUGUUGAAUAAUUGUUUGAUUACUUGUGUUGUGAUAUUGUUGUGCUUUAUUUAUGUGGAAUUGGGAUGAAGUGGGUCACCACGGGUUUGUGAGGGUGUUCUUUGAUACCGUUGGCCAUGUAUGGGGAGAUCGAGCCCUCGUGUGCAUCUGAUAAUAUAUGAUAUGGAAAACUACAGGGUGACCUCCUGUUGGUAUGGAAAAGAAAAGAGAAUAUUAAAAAAAUGAGAGGCUGUCAAGUGAGGAUUAGAUUGGGCGACCAUGUAUGAGGAUCGGCUCCCUAGUGCACAUGUUUGAGAGGGCGGGCCAUGUGGGAGGAUGGCUCGUCUGGAGUUUCGGUGAAGCCACUGACUAAUUUCCACUUGUUUGAUUACUUGAAGUUGAAAUUACUUGUAUGUAUUGAUGUCGUGCCAUAUACUUACAAAUGUUGGCGUGUAUUGACUUUGUGGUUUAGGCUUACUUAAGCCCUAGUGCCGGUCUGGCCCACGAUUUCUUAUCGUGACAAAGUUGGUAUCAGAGCUUAGUUUAGAAUCUUAGGAGACAACUGUGGAGUAUAGGGAUUUUCCAUCUCGUCUUUCUCAUUUUUCUUUGCUUCCUACUUCAAUGUUUUCUCUUGUUGUCACGUUUAGAAUAAAUCUAUAUCUUAUUGAGUGUAUGUGUUGUUUCUUGAAUUUAGAAUACAAAAUGAUAAGUUUGAGUAUUUUUUUAUUAGGAAUGACCCCUUGAUGAUCGAAUUAGAUAAGGUGAAGGUUGUAGCAAUUGGUUUAGGAUAGGUAUGGACUGGGAACUUCUUUAUGUUGGGAUCGACCGUAACCAACAUAAAAGAAGAGACUUGGGUCGGUUUUCCUUUUCUAGGCUGGUGGACGCACUAAGCCCUGUAGUAUGGAAAACCCAUAACUAUUAUGUGAGUUAGUAUACUAAAAGGAGAAAGAAACUAUAUGAUUUGAGUAGAAUUAUCUAGCUAGAUGAGUAAUAGACCAAAAAAGAAGUCUUAGGUGCUGAUAAAGGCACCAUUUCUUAGUCUUGGGAAUGGAGGAACAUUUGGAGUGUGGUGAAUUGGCCUGAUCAACCAAUGCACUACUUUUCAUGUGGAAUCUAUUCCUAUGAGUGAGUAGGAUAAUGUUAG